rnacentral:rRNA from 1 species
UACCAGCACCCCGAGUGGUCGGGACGUUUAUUGGGCCUAAAGCAUCCGUAGCCGGUUCUACAAGUCUUCCGUUAAAUCCACCUGCUCAACAGAUGGGCUGCGGAAGAUACUAUGGGAGCUAGGAGGCGGGAGAGGCAAGCGGUACUCGAUGGGUAGGGGUAAAAUCCGUUGAUCCAUUGAAGACCACCAGUGGCGAAGGCGGCUUGCCAGAACGCGCUCGACGGUGAGGGAUGAAAGCUGGGGGAGCAAACCGG